GCUAUUGGAGUUCGAUUAAGCCAUGCGAGUCGAGAGUCUUAGGGACUCGGCGUACCGCUCAGUAACACGUGGGUAACCUGCCCUAUGCUGGGGAAUAACCUCGGGAAACUGAGAAUAAUGCCCCAUAGUCCACAAUGCCUGGAACGGUUUGUGGAUCAAAGCUCCGGCGGCAUAGGAUGGGCCUGCGGCGUAUCAGGUUGUAGGGGGUGUAACGUACCCUCUAGCCAUCAACGCGUACGGGUGUUGGGAGACAUAGCCCGGAGAUGGAUUCUGAGACACGAAUCCAGACCCUACGGGGUGCAGCAGGCGCGAAAACUUGGCAAUGCGAGAAAUCGUGACCAGGGAACUCCAAGUGGCUGGGGUAAGACCCAGUCUUUUCUUGACUCUUCAAAGGUCUUGGAAUAAGGGGUGGGUAAGGACGGUGCCAGCCGCCGCGGUAAUACCGGCGCCUCAAGUGGUAGUCGAUUUUAUUGGGCCUAAAACGUCCGUAGCCUGUUUGGUACAUUCGUGGGUAAAUCAACCAGCUCAACUGGUUGAAUUCUGCGAGCACGGCCAGACUUGGGACCGGGAGAGGUGUAGGGUACGCUCAGGGUAGGGGUAAAAUCCUGUCAUCCUGAGCGGACCACCUGUUGCGAAGGCGCCACACUAGAACGGAUCCGACGGUCAGGGACGAAGCCUAGGGGCACGAACCGGAUUAGAUACCCGGGUAGUCCUAGGUGUAAACGCUGUGGACUCGGUGUUGGGGACUCUCCGAGAAUCCUCAGUGCCGAAGCGAAGGUGAUAAGUCCACUGCCUGGGGAGUACGGUCGCAAGGCUGAAACUUAAAGGAAUUGGCGGGGGAGCACCGC
rnacentral:rRNA from 1 species